UUCUCCGUCCUGCUGUGGGCCACUAUCAUUAUUUUCAUUUUGGUUUUGGCGCUGCUGGUGCUGGGAGUCAUUUAUAUUAAACACAGAGACUCCUCAAAGACACAAACAGCAGAUUCACCAUGCGAGGAAAAUCUAAACGCCUGUGAAGAGGAUCAGGAAAAUGUCACGUAUGCUCUCGUCGUCAAAAAACCAAGACAUCACCAAGACGCUGCAGACGCUGCUGAUAAUCCGAGCCUCAGCAUCGAGACAGACCACAGCCAAAACCCACAAACUGAAGCAGGUGAACCUUCAUUUGAAACAGUUUACUCUGCGUUGGUUAUAAAUGAGACUCCACAAACUCACG